UGGUGGCUUCAAGCUGGUAAUUAAAGGUACAUCGCGACAGGGCGAAUUCAAUGCACUACAUGAUCCUGGAGACUUCAUUUGCAAUCCAUUGUUACUGGAUUCUAUAAUAAAGGGAGGUAUCAUCAGAGACAAUCCGGUGGCUGAAAAACUCUUAAUGACAGAUCUUGCCCGUUGACCACCAAGAGUAUUGCUUUUGUGAUUUUUCGACAUGCUUGAAGUACUUGGUGAGGGUGGUAAAGUGGGACAUAGAUUAGCAGUCACAGAUUUCACUGAACAAUUGAGGGAAGAUAAUCUGAAACUCAUCCAUAAUUUAACAGUAUUCAAAUAAUAUUAGUACAUUAAUAUUAAAUAAAAUGUACUGUUAAAACUAUUAGAAGAUACAAUGAAUCAAUUCAGAGGAUAUUUUAUCUUUAUAUUAGUAUUACAAUCACCACUAUAUUAUUCAACUGAAUUUAUAAAAAAAUUAUUGGUAGAAUCGUAUUAAACUGGGUUAAAAUCUAAAUGGUAAAUUAAAAACCAAGAUGUUUAAUUAAUAGUUUUUUAAAAAAUAAAAUAUUUCUGUUAA